GCCGAGGUGGCGGAAUAGGCAGACGCGAGGGACUUAAAAUCCCUUGAGGUUCAACCCUCGUGCGGGUUCGAUUCCCGCCCUCGGCAC
rnacentral:tRNA from 1 species